rnacentral:rRNA from 1 species
CCCUUAGAUGUUCUGGGCCGCACGCGCGCUACACUGAUGCAUUCAACGAGUCUAAAACCUGCUCUGAUAGGGGUGGGUAAUCUUUUGAAUGUGCAUCGUGAUUGGGAUAGAUGAUUGCAAUUUUUCAUCUUCAACGAGGAAUGCCUAGUAAACGCAAGUCAUCAGCUUGCAUUGAUUACGUCCCUGCCCUUUGUACACACCGCCCGUCGCUCCUACCGAUUGAAUGAUCCGAUGAAUAUCAUGGAUUGAGGAUGCAAGUAGGUUCGCCUAUCUUCAUCUUCGAGAAGUGAAGUAAAUCUUAUCAUUGAGAGGAAGGAGAAGGCGGAACA